CUUAUGCGUUGUUGGGUAGGGGAGCGUUCUGUAAGCCUGCGAAGGUGUGCUGUGAGGCAUGCUGGAGGUAUCAGAAGUGCGAAUGCUGACAUAAGUAACGAUAAAGCGGGUGAAAAGCCCGCUCGCCGGAAGACCAAGGGUUCCUGUCCAACGUUAAUCGGGGCAGGGUGAGUCGACCCCUAAGGCGAGGCCGAAAGGCGUAGUCGAUGGGAAACAGGUUAAUAUUCCUGUACUUGGUGUUACUGCGAAGGGGGGACGGAGAAGGCUAUGUUGGCCGGGCGACGGUUGUCCCGGUUUAAGCGUGUAGGCUGGUUUUCCAGGCAAAUCCGGAAAAUCAAGGCUGAGGCGUGAUGACGAGGCACUACGGUGCUGAAGCAACAAAUGCCCUGCUUCCAGGAAAAGCCUCUAAGCAUCAGGUAACAUCAAAUCGUACCCCAAACCGACACAGGUGGUCAGGUAGAGAAUACCAAGGCGCUUGAGAGAACUCGGGUGAAGGAACUAGGCAAAAUGGUGCCGUAACUUCGGGAGAAGGCACGCUGAUAUGUAGGUGAAGCGACUUGCUCGUGGAGCUGAAAUCAGUCGAAGAUACCAGCUGGCUGCAACUGUUUAUUAAAAACACAGCACUGUGCAAACACGAAAGUGGACGUAUACGGUGUGACGCCUGCCCGGUGCCGGAAGGUUAAUUGAUGGGGUUAGCCGCAAGGCGAAGCUCUUGAUCGAAGCCCCGGUAAACGGCGGCCGUAACUAUAACGGUCCUAAGGUAGCGAAAUUCCUUGUCGGGUAAGUUCCGACCUGCACGAAUGGCGUAAUGAUGGCCAGGCUGUCUCCACCCGAGACUCAGUGAAAUUGAACUCGCUGUGAAGAUGCAGUGUACCCGCGGCAAGACGGAAAGACCCCGUGAACCUUUACUAUAGCUUGACACUGAACAUUGAGCCUUGAUGUGUAGGAUAGGUGGGAGGCUUUGAAGUGUGGACGCCAGUCUGCAUGGAGCCGACCUUGAAAUACCACCCUUUAAUGUUUGAUGUUCUAACGUUGACCCGUAAUCCGGGUUGCGGACAGUGUCUGGUGGGUAGUUUGACUGGGGCGGUCUCCUCCUAAAGAGUAACGGAGGAGCACGAAGGUUGGCUAAUCCUGGUCGGACAUCAGGAGGUUAGUGCAAUGGCAUAAGCCAGCUUGACUGCGAGCGUGACGGCGCGAGCAGGUGCGAAAGCAGGUCAUAGUGAUCCGGUGGUUCUGAAUGGAAGGGCCAUCGCUCAACGGAUAAAAGGUACUCCGGGGAUAACAGGCUGAUACCGCCCAAGAGUUCAUAUCGACGGCGGUGUUUGGCACCUCGAUGUCGGCUCAUCACAUCCUGGGGCUGAAGUAGGUCCCAAGGGUAUGGCUGUUCGCCAUUUAAAGUGGUACGCGAGCUGGGUUUAGAACGUCGUGAGACAGUUCGGUCCCUAUCUGCCGUGGGCGCUGGAGAACUGAGGGGGGCUGCUCCUAGUACGAGAGGACCGGAGUGGACGCAUCACUGGUGUUCGGGUUGUCAUGCCAAUGGCACUGCCCGGUAGCUAAAUGCGGAAGAGAUAAGUGCUGAAAGCAUCUAAGCACGAAACUUGCC
rnacentral:rRNA from 1 species